UCCUUUCUCCAAUGAUCCACAUAUUCCUUUAUUAUGAGCCAUUCAUCCAUAGCUAAUGUAAACCACAUAUUUCCAAAUGAAAAUCAGAAUUGGAUUCAGAAAAUCAGAGAAAGAAAGAUCGAGAGAGAGCAAGACACAGAGGGAGAAAGGGGAAAAACGGAAACAGAAAGGGAGGAAUGAAGAUCAGAACUCACGGAAGGAAGAAGGCUUCGAUCUCACCAUCUUCGUACACCCAUGGCUGCUACUAUUAUCAAUCGAAACUACUGCGCACAGAGAGAAGAAAAGAGCGACGAACUGGGAGACGCGUUGCUUCUGUUGACAUUUAUUGGAGUUGUCGCGCGUAGAAGAGAGGUUACCGCCGAUUCCGCCCAGGAUCAUCGUCGCCGCCGCUACCAUUGAUGAAAGUCGGCGCCAUCGAAGGGGCCACUGGUGAGAGGAACCCUAACUGUCAUCGAUACCAUCGAACAGGGCAGGAAGGGGAGGAGUGACGUGAUGAAAGAAGAGAGUCGUUCUGCCACUGAUGCACUUGCUAGUGCUAUUGAGGAAGUCCGCCAUCCGAGAAGCAUCAUCCGCGUUGUUGCUGUGAACUAUUUCAGCCCUGCCCUGGAAAAAUGCCCAAAAAUGUUUUUGUUUUCGUCUAGCCAUCAUUAUCGCGAUUAUUGAUGACAUUGCUGCUACAGAGAGUCAUUGGCAUCACUGUUGCGGUUGCUGCCACGAAUUAGGAAUAAAGGGAAUUGCUGUGUUAGAUUCAUUACGACAUCGAGUGACAUAGGUUUGAAGACGCAAUUUGAAGUUGCGAGCGAUUAGUAGGCUUCCUUUAUGGUUUUAAUUGCUUUCAUAGAGUUCCCUCGCUGUUGUCCCUUGAGAUUUUAUUUUGUAUAGAGGGGUAGGUUUGAUAUAUUAUAUUUAAGUUUCAUAUGGUUUCUUUUGUAUAAGAAUUAUUAUCAAUAGUAAUUAUGCGAUUAUUAUUACUUGGAAAUGUUUGAAUUAUGACUUUAAUGAAUAAAAACAAAAUUUUCUGGAAUUUUCUUAAAACUAAAACGCGAACUCGAUACAAAGGCUCGAUAAUUAAGUAGUUAAUACUAAAGAAGGUUACGUAAUGUUCUUUCUAAUAGAAAUAUCCUGACUUAAGCAAGGUAUUUUGCUGGACGGGACGUUACAGUUGUCUUAUUAAGAAGACAACUCGGUUUGACAUUAUCUUGUUGUGAUGCAUAUUGAAGAAAACGUAUUUGAUAUCAUCAUGCACAUAAUAAUGGUCAAUGUUUAAACAAAGAAUAACGAUAAGGCGGCCAGAUCUAAACUUAAAGAUACUUGAAAACGGGUGGUGGACUAAACCGAAGACGGUGUUCGCUCUAACGAAGGAACAGAGACAAAAUGUUUGUAGGUGGGUUAGAGGAUUGAGGUUUCCUAAUGGUUAUACUUCUAACUUGAGCAGGUGUGCAAACAUAUCACAUGGUAGACUUGCUGGGUUGAAGAGUGAUGAUUGUCACGUCUUCAUGGAGUCUUUGCUUCCUGUCGCAUUCAGAGAACUUUCAACCAACAUCUGAAAAUCCCUCAUACAAAUAAGUGAGUUCUUUAGGGAGUUAUGUGCUAUGAAACGUAGCUUUAAUGAUCUUCCAGUCAUGGAAAAAAACAUUCUCAUCAUACUUUGUAAGCUAUAGAGGAUAUUCUCUCCAUCAUUUUUUGACAUUAUGGAACACUUAGCAGUUCACCUACUAUACGAAGUCAUACUAUGUGUGCCGGUCUAAUUUAGGUGGAUGUACCCAUUUGAGAGGAUGAUUGGGUCAUUCAAGUGUACGGUAAAGAACAAAGCUCGGAUUGAGGGCAGUAUUUGUAAAGCAUUCCUAGCUAAGGAACGUCCGCAUUUUGCUCAUUCUAUUUUCAACUUCAUGUUGAGUCACGUAGAACAAGGUUAGAAAGAAUGAAGAGAGGGGAUAAUCCUUGUCAAGUGGAACAACAAAUCCAAUCUUUGCUUCGGAAUGAGCUACAAUGGGUGCGGGCUGUAAUUAUUGGUUAGAGUAGAAGGAAAUUGAUGCUGCACAGAUGCAUGUGUUGCUUAACCGUGACCGGAUUUCAUGUA